CUGCAGCACAUUCUGGUAGGAGAGAAGGAUAUAAAGUUGCAGAAAACAGAAUAAAAAGGACUGUAAUAAUGAGAGAGAGCACACAAACUGGGGUACAUUUCCUAGUUACUGCCAUGAAAUAUAACAUAUACAAGGUGGAUAUAAAGAAGACAUCACUACGCUACAGAAAAUGGUAUCCGCCUGGCAGUUCCUCGAGCACGAAUUGCAAAGAAAACAGCCUGCUCGUAUCAGGGCCUCCCAUGUUCCCGGGACUCACCUUCACCCCGGAUAAUGCUGCUGUAGCUCCUGCUGCCAUGGCUAAUCAGUACCGACCCCGCACCGCUCUGCAGAGACACAACGUUCCGCCCUUGUGAAGGUUCCUACUAAAUUCGGCGUAAGGAGGGGAAAAAGUGAUAAAGCUGAAGGCGGAGCCGACUAUCUAGUUAUUCGUAGCCUGCUAGAUUUGUCAGCAGAAUCUUGGACAGGCAACUACAGCAAGGACGAGAUCUGAACCUCAGACUUGAAGAUGGGCCAACACAGGCAAAACAUAAAUCAUUCCCUGCAUAUACAGUAUGUUUGGACCACAUAAAAGAUAUGUCAGCUGAAUCUUGGACAGGUAUCUACAGCAGGGAUGUGAUCUGAACCUCAGACUUGAAGAUGGGCCAACUUACAGUUUAGCUAUUUGCUAAUUAUCACCCAACAUAUAGGAUAGAGCUAGAUUACAAGGUUGUCUAACUGUAUUUAUGUUGCUAUCUUUUUUAUAUUGUUAUUUUAAAUAAAACAGUCCCUGUAUUUUUACAAGACAGUCUGAAAAGGUGGACACACCCCUGAAGAAGUCUGCCCAGCUAAAGCAGAUGAAAAGCAUUGGGUAUUUAUAUACUAGCCCACAAACUGACUAAUAAGAAGACUGCUCCUCACAUGCUGUAAAAGCACAGUGAAUCAGGCCGCAUACUUGCUGAGAGGUCCGGUACUACACCAUGGAAGUGACACGUUGCUGUGGACUUCUAUGACUUUCUGUUUGAUGAGCUUGUGACACUUUGUUUUUUAAGUAAGUGUAAUUUGUAGCAGGGACUUUCCCUAUUUUAAUAAAUGAUCAUGUAAAUCAGAGGUGCGCUGUUCCCUUCUGUUUUUUUACUGUGUAUAUAAGUAUCAUGCUUGAAAUAAAAGAAUGGCUUAUUCAAUAAAUAAUAAACUAAA